UACGGAGGGAGCUAGCGUUGUUCGGAUAUACUGGGCGUAAAGCGCACGUAGGCGGCGCAGCAAGUCAGGGGUGAAAUCCCGGAGCUCAACUCCGGAACUGCCUUUGAAACUGCAGUGCUAGAAUCUUGGAGAGGCGAGUGGAAUUCCGAGUGUAGAGGUGAAAUUCGUAGAUAUUCGGAAAGAACACCAGUGGCGAAGGCGACUCGCUGGACAAGUAUUGACGCUGAGGUGCGAAAGCGUGGGGAGCAAACAGG
rnacentral:rRNA from 1 species